AAGACCUUGCGCUUUUGGAGCGGCCGAUGCCUGAUUAGCUUGUUGGUAAGGUAAAAGCUACCAAGGCUUCGAUCAGUAGCUGGUCUGAGAGGACGGCCAGCCACACUGGGACUGAGACACGGCCCAGACUCCUACGGGAGGCAGCAGUGGGGAAUUUUGGACAAUGGGGGCAACCCUGAUCCAGCCAUGCCGCGUGAGUGAAGAAGGCCUUCGGGUUGUAAAGCUCUUUCAGCCGGAACGAAACGGUUACGGUUAAUACCCGUGAUUACUGACGGUACCGGAAGAAGAAGCACCGGCUAACUACGUGCCAGCAGCCGCGGUAAUACGUAGGGUGCGAGCGUUAAUCGGAAUUACUGGGCGUAAAGCGUGCGCAGGUGGUUUUGUAAGUCAGAUGUGAAAGCCCCGGGCUCAACCUGGGAACU
rnacentral:rRNA from 1 species